UACGGAGGUGGCAAGCGUUACUCGGUUUGACUGGGUGUAAAGGGUCCGCAGGCGGUUUGAUAAGUGGAAAGUGAAAUCCUUCUGCUUAACGGAAGAAGUGCUUUCCAAACUAUCAUACUUGAGGAUGGAAGAGGAGAGUGGAACUGUCGGUGUAAAGGUGAAAUUUGUGGAGAUCGACAGGAACGCCCGUGGAGAAGUCGGCUCUCUGGUCCAUCUCUGACGCUCAGGGACGAAAGCUAGGGGAG
rnacentral:rRNA from 1 species